UAGGGAAUCUUCCACAAAUGGGCGAAAGCCUGAUGGAGCAACGCCGCGUGUGUGAUGAAGGCUUUCGGGUCGUAAAGCACUGUUGUAUGGGAAGAACAGCUUGAAUAGGAAAUGAUUUUAGUUUGACGGUACCAUACCAGAAAGGGACGGCUAAAUACGUGCCA
rnacentral:rRNA from 1 species